UCGUGGUGACAGCGGAGGGAUCAUUAAAGAGUUGAAAGACUCCCAAAACCACUGUGGACUUUACCUUUUAUCGUUGCUUCGGCGGUGAACGGGUUUAGGGUGCCCUUUACUUUUUCGGUGGGGGGACCCGACCAGCGAGCCGCCGGAGGUUACCUAAACUUUGUAUUUAUGUAGUGUAUCUCUGAGCAUUAAAAAACAAGUCAAAACUUUCAACAACGGAUCUCUUGGUUCUGGCAUCGAUGAAGAACGCAGCGAAAUGCGAUAAGUAAUGUGAAUUGCAGAAUUCAGUGAAUCAUCGAAUCUUUGAACGCACAUUGCGCCCGCUAGUAUUCUGGCGGGCAUGCCUGUUCGAGCGUCAUUUCAACCAUCAGGCUCUAUCCAGGCCUGUGUUGGGGCCCUGCGGCUACCGCAGCCCCCUAAUUGCAGUGGCGGGCUCGCUGUUACCCCGAGCGCAGUAGCGUAUCUCGCUCUGGGCGUGGCGGCGGGUGCUAGCCGUGAAAUACUCACUUAAGGUUGACCUCGGAUCAGGUAGGAAUACCCGCUGAACUUAAGCAUAUCAAUAAGCGGAGGA
rnacentral:rRNA from 1 species